rnacentral:rRNA from 1 species
UGGAUCCAGACUUUGAUCCUGGCUCAGGACGAACGCUGGCGGCGUGCUUAACACAUGCAAGUCGAACGAGAUGAGAUGAGGAGCUUGCUUCUUAUUGAUUCGAGUGGCAAACGGGUGAGUAACGCGUAAGCAACCUGCCCUUCAGAUGGGGACAACAGCUGGAAACGGCUGCUAAUACCGAAUACGUUCUUUUUGUCGCAUGGCAGAGGGAAGAAAGGGAGGCUCUUCGGAGCUUUCGCUGAAGGAGGGGCUUGCGUCUGAUUAGCUAGUUGGAGGGGUAACGGCCCACCAAGGCGACGAUCAGUAGCCGGUCUGAGAGGAUGAACGGCCACAUUGGGACUGAGACACGGCCCAGACUCCUACGGGAGGCAGCAGUGGGGAAUCUUCCGCAAUGGACGAAAGUCUGACGGAGCAACGCCGCGUGAACGAUGACGGCCUUCGGGUUGUAAAGUUCUGUUAUACGGGACGAAUGGCGUAGCGGUCAAUACCCGUUACGAGUGACGGUACCGUAAGAGAAAGCCACGGCUAACUACGUGCCAGCAGCCGCGGUAAUACGUAGGUGGCAAGCGUUGUCCGGAAUUAUUGGGCGUAAAGGGCGCGCAGGCGGCGUCGUAAGUCGGUCUUAAAAGUGCGGGGCUUAACCCCGUGAGGGGACCGAAACUGCGAUGCUAGAGUAUCGGAGAGGAAAGCGGAAUUCCUAGUGUAGCGGUGAAAUGCGUAGAUAUUAGGAGGAACACCAGUGGCGAAAGCGGCUUUCUGGACGACAACUGACGCUGAGGCGCGAAAGCCAGGGGAGCAAACGGGAUUAGGUACCCCGGUAGUCCUGGCCGUAAACGAUGGAUACUAGGUGUAGGAGGUAUCGACCCCUUCUGUGCCGGAGUUAACGCAAUAAGUAUCCCGCCUGGGGAGCACGGCCGCAAGGCUGCAACUCAAAGGAAUUGACGGA